rnacentral:rRNA from 1 species
GACGAACGCUGGCGGCGUGCUUAACACAUGCAAGUCGAACGAAGUGGCGAACGGGUGAGUAACGCGUAAUCAACCUGCCCUUCAGAGGGGGACAACAGUUGGAAACGACUGCUAAUACCGCAUACUGAAGGAGGGGAUUGCGUCUGAUUAGCUAGUUGGAGGGGUAACGGCCCACCAAGGCGAUGAUUAGUAGCCGGUCUGGGAGGCAGGACGGCCACAUUGGGACUGAGACAACGCCCAGAAUCCUUCGGGGGGCAGCAGUGGGGAAUCUUCCGCCAUGGACGAAAGUCUGACGGAGCAACGCCGCGUGAGUGGUGACGGCCUUCGGGUUGUAAAGCUCUGUUAAGCGGGACGCGGUACCGGAAUAGAAAGCCACGGCUAACUACGUGCCAGCAGCCGCGGUAAUUC